UGGGGAAUAUUGCACAAUGGGCGAAAGCCUGAUGCAGCGACGCCGCGUGAGGGAUGACGGCCUUCGGGUUGUAAACCUCUUUCGACAGGGACGAAGCGCAAGUGACGGUACCUGUAGAAGAAGCACCGGCCAACUACGUGCCAGCAGCCGCGGUAAUACGUAGGGUGCGAGCGUUGUCCGGAAUUACUGGGCGUAAAGAGCUUGUAGGCGGUCUGUCGCGUCUUCUGUGAAAACUUGGGGCUCAACCUUAAGCUUGCAGGGGAUACGGGCAGACUAGAGUACUUCAGGGGAGACUGGAAUUCCUGGUGUAGCGGUGAAAUGCGCAGAUAUCAGGAGGAACACCGGUGGCGAAGGCGGGUCUCUGGGAAGUAACUGACGCUGAGAAGCGAAAGCGUGGGUAGCGAACAGGAUUAGAUACCCCCGUAGUCC
rnacentral:rRNA from 1 species